rnacentral:lncRNA from 1 species
AUGUGUCAGGGCACACACAAACACCCACACACGCGUGGUCACACGCAGCUCCGUGUCAGGGCACACACACACACACGUGUGGUCCCACACAAUGACACGCGUGUCCCCGCCGCUCUCCUCCUUGUCAGGGCACACACACACACACGCGUGUUCACACGCCAUGACAUGCGUGUCCCUGACUCUUUCCCCCGUCUCAGGGCACACACACACACACACACGCGUGCGCGCGGUCACACACGCAAUGACAUGCGUGUCCCUGACUCUUUCCCCCGUCUCAGGGCACACACAUGGUUCUCACACACACACGUGUGUUCACACACCAUGACACGCGUGUCCCCGACUCUUUCCCCCGUCUCAGGGCACACACGUGGAUCUCACACACACACACACAGGUGGUCACACACCAUGACACACGUGUCCCCACCACUCUCCCCCGUCUCAGGGCACAGACACACACACACACGCGUGUUCACACACAAUGACACACAUGUCCCUGACUCUUUCCCCCGUCUCAGGGCACACACACACACACACACACACACACACCAUGACACGCGUGUCCCCGACUCUUUCCCCCGUCUCAGGGCACACAGACACACACACGCGUGUUCACUCGCCAUGACACGCGUGUCCCCGCCGCUCUCCCCCAUCUCAGGGCACACACACACACACACUUGUUCACACGCCAUGACACGCGUGCCCCUGACUCUUUCUCCCAUCUCAGGGCACACACACACACGCACACGCCAUGACACGCGUGUCCCCGACUCUUUCCCCCGUCUCAGGGCACACACGUGGGUCUCACUUACACACACACACAUGGGUCUCACACACACACACAUGGGUCUCACUUACACACACACACGUGGGUCUCACUUACACGUGGGUCUCACUUACACACGUGGGUCUCACUUUCACACACACGUGGGUCUCACACACGUGGGUCUCACUUUCACACACACAUGUGGGUCUCACACACACACGUGGGUCUCACUUUCACACACACGUGGGUCUCACUUUCACACACACGUGGGUCUCACACACACACACGUGGGUCUCACUUUCACACACACGUGGGUCUCACACACACGUGGGUCUCACACACACACACGUGGGUCUCACACACACACACGGGUCUCACUU